AUAGGUCACCUACUUCAUCAGAACGGCAGCCUCCUCACUGGAGGGACGCUUCCUGUCUACCUUGCUUAUGUGGAGAAGCUUCUGGGUGACCAGGACCCUGCAGUCAGGCGAGUCGCCCAGAGAACAGAAGCUUUGGUACAAAAGGCCUUCUCCCUCCACUCUGCACACGGGCUGGUGGCUGCCCUGCGGCGCUUGGCGGCAGGCUGUAGGAGACAACGUUAUCCCCCCGAGUAUGAAGGCCUUUCCGCCUGAUGGACCGGGAUUCGAGCCCUUCCUCCUGUGCCAGUGAACACCUUGCAGCACCGCAGGAAAGACCACUAGGGUGCGUACCAUCUCCUUGCUACGGACGAAAGUCAGUCGCCGGUUGACGGGGCUGGGAAGGAAUUUUACCCCUAAUCUGCCAUUGGAGUCGGCAAGUGGGGUUUUUGCCUUCCCCGUAGCAACGUUCACCCUAUGUUGGAGGUUUCCAGUUAAAAUUGUUGAAUAAAUGGUAACAUGUUACUUU